UUAUUCUAAACUACAAAUGCAUAAAUAUCUGUUAACAGUAUCUUUUUGGUACAAUUUGGUCCUUAAGUGUUUUUUUUUUUUUUUUAAACAAAGUUUUUCCUUAAAGAGGAGUUUAAAAUUGAAAUGUUUGUCUAAAUGUUCAAUUCAGACACUGUGCAGAUGCUCUGGAUUGAAGGUAUUCAUAAAAUGGCUAUCACAUUUUGAAUCUUUGAAAAUUUUGGUUAAAUCUGCAGGCAUGUGCUUUUGCGGGAAGGACGUUGGACUCUUGCAGUAUAAAUUAAAAACAUCGCUUAUAAACAAUACAUCGCAGCACACUCGCAGAGAGAGCACUGGUUUUGAAAAAUGCUACUGAGUGGUAAAAACUCAAAUUGAUUUUUCUCUGCUCUCAUCCCACAACAAUCAACAUAGAAGACUUCUGUGACCAAAUACAUGUAGGGCUUUCCCCACCAGCAAGCAGCCCAUCAGUUCUGCAGUGGGCACCAGGUGAGUGCCUUCUAAUUCAAUUCUGACAUUAUCUACCUGGAGACUGUGUUAGAUCCCACAGGUUGAGCGCCCAGUCUUCAAGAUUGCUUCACAAUUCCCUCGCUUCCAAUGCCCAUUACAAGCCUCAGGUUAUUUUGCCUGUGCUUCUAACUGACUGACUGACUUAUACAUCAGGAUUCCCAUAAUCCCCUCCUUCGAUUCCAUUGAUUUGCUAAAGUGUUUCAUACAACUCAGGGAACUACUGGUUUACUAUAAAGGAUAUAACAAAGGACACGGAUGAAGAGACUCACAGG
rnacentral:lncRNA from 1 species